UACGAAGGGGGCUAGCGUUGCUCGGAAUCACUGGGCGUAAAGGGUGCGUAGGCGGGUCUUUAAGUCAGGGGUGAAAUCCUGGAGCUCAACUCCAGAACUGCCUUUGAUACUGAAGAUCUUGAGUUCGGGAGAGGGAUGCGGAAUUCCAAGUGUAGCGGUGAAAUGCGUAGAUAUCUGGAGGAACACCGGUGGCGAAGGCGGCAUCCUGGACCAACACUGACGCUGAGUGAGCGAAAGCCAGGGGAGCAAACGGG
rnacentral:rRNA from 1 species